rnacentral:piRNA from 1 species
UUAUAAUCAAUCAUGGAUGAAGCAG